rnacentral:rRNA from 1 species
GGCGAACGCUGGCGGCGUGCUUAACACAUGCAAGUCGAACGCUGAAGACCUGGCUUUUGUUGGGUUGGAUGAGUGGCGAACGGGGGAGUAACACGUGAGUAACCUGCCCUCUUCUUUGGGAUAACGCCCGGAAACGGGUGCUAAUACUGGAUAUUCACUGAUCUUCGCAUGGGGGUUGGUGGAAAGGUUUGUUCUGGUGGGGGAUGGGCUCGCGGCCUAUCAGCUUGUUGGUGGGGUGAUGGCCUACCAAGGCUUUGACGGGUAGCCGGCCUGAGAGGGUGACCGGUCACAUUGGGACUGAGAUACGGCCCAGACUCCUACGGGAGGCAGCAGUGGGGAAUAUAGCACAAUGGGCGAAAGCCUGAUGCAGCGACGCCGCGUGAGGGAUGGAGGCCUUCGGGUUGUAAACCUCUUUCGCUCAUGGUCAAGCCGCAACUGUGGGUUGUGGUGAGGGUAGUGGGUAAAGAAGCGCCGGCUAACUACGUG